GCUUAACGUUGAAUUCAGUUUCCAAUUUAUAAUAAAAACCACCGUUUAAUGAAUAAACCCUAUUGAUAACCUGUGUUGAGCUACUUCUUUCCAAGAUUCUCUUGUGCAAAUAGCGCUUUAAAGGGACACUAUAUACACCCGAACAACUACAGCUUAUUGUAGUUGUUUUGGUGUCUAUAGCCUAUCCUGCAGGCUUUUUGCUGUAAACACUGCAUUUAGUAACACCACUAGUGGCCACUCCACAGACAGCCACUGGAUCAGGC